rnacentral:rRNA from 1 species
UCGGGAAUUUUGGGCAAUGGGCGAAAGCCUGACCCAGCAACGCCGCGUGAAGGAUGAAGUAUUUCGGUAUGUAAACUUCGAAAGAAUAGGAAGAAUAAAUGACGGUACUAUUUAUAAGGUCCGGCUAACUACGUGCCAGCAGCCGCGGUAAUACGUAGGGACCAAGCGUUGUUCGGAUUUACUGGGCGUAAAGGGCGCGUAGGCGGCUUGACAAGUCACUUGUGAAAUCUCUGGGCUUAACCCAGAACGGCCAAGUGAUACUGUCGCGCUAGAGUGCAGAAGGGGCAAUCGGAAUUCUUGGUGUAGCGGUGAAAUGCGUAGAUAUCAAGAGGAACACCUGAGGUGAAGACGGGUUGCUGGGCUGACACUGACGCUGAGGCGCGAAAGCCAGGGGAGCAAACGGGAUUAGAUACCCAGGUAGUCCCUGAGCGGGCUGGCAAGGCGCAU